CCUACGGGAUGCAGCAGUGGGGAAUAUUGGACAAUGGGCGAAAGCCUGAUCCAGCAAUGCCGCGUGUGUGAAGAAGGUCUUCGGAUUGUAAAGCACUUUCGACGAGUGCGCGAUCAUGACAGGACUCGAGGAAGAAGCCCCGGCUAACUUCGUGCCAGCAGCCGCGGUAAUACGAAGGGGGCUAGCGUUGUUCGGAAUUACUGGGCGUAGGGCGCGCGUAGGCGGAUAGAUAAGUCAGAGGUGAAGUCCCGGGGCUCAACCCCGGAAUUGCCUUUGAUACUGUUUAUCUUGAGUGCAGAAGAGGUAAGUGGAAUUCCGAGUGUAGAGGUGAAAUUCGUAGAUAUUCAGAGGAACACCAGUGGCGAAGGCGGCUUACUGGUCUGCAACUGACGCUGAGGCGCGAAAGCGUGGGGAGCAAACAGGAUUAGAUACCCCCGUAGUC
rnacentral:rRNA from 1 species